UACGUAGGGGGCAAGCGUUGUCCGGAUUCAUUGGGCGUAAAGAGCGUGUAGGCGGCCAGGUAGGUCGGUUGUGAAAACUGGAGGCUCAACCUUCAGAGGUCGACCGAAACCAUCUGGCUAGAGUCCGGGAGAGGAGAGUGGAAUUCCUGGUGUAGCGGUGAAAUGCGCAGAUAUCGGGAGGAACACCAGUGGCGAAGGCGGCGAUCUGGGUUGAUACUGACGCUGAGGUGCGAAAGCGUGGGGAGCAAACAGG
rnacentral:rRNA from 1 species